rnacentral:rRNA from 1 species
CGGGUGAGUAACACGUGGAUAACCUACCUAUAAGACUGGGAUAACUUCGGGAAACCGGAGCUAAUACCGGAUAAUAUUUUGAACCGCAUGGUUCAAAAGUGAAAGACGGUCUUGCUGUCACUUAUAGAUGGAUCCGCGCUGCAUUGGCUAGUUGGUAAGGUAACGGCUUACCAAGGCAACGAUGCAUAGCCGACCUGAGAGGGUGAUCGGCCACACUGGAACUGAGACACGGUCCAG